rnacentral:rRNA from 1 species
GACGAACGCUGGCGGCGUGCUUAACACAUGCAAGUCGAACGGAAAGGCCCUGCUUGCAGGGUCCUCGAGUGUCGAACGGGUGAGGAACACGUGGGUGAUCUGCCCUGCACUUCGGGAUAAGCCUGGGAAACUGGGUCUAAUACCGGAUAGGAGCAAUUUUUAGUGUGAUGGUUGGAAAGUUUUUUUCGGUGUUGUUUGAUCUCUCGCCCUAUAUGCUAGUUGGUGUGGUAAUGGCUUACCAAUGCGGCGACGGGUAGCCGACCUGCGAGGGUGGACGGCCACACUGGAACUGAGAGACGGUCCAGACUCCUACGGGAGGCAGCAGUAGGGAAGCGUCCGAAAAGGGCGAAAGACUGAAGGAGCAACGCAGCGUUAGUGAAGAAGGGCUGCGGAGCGGAAAACUGUGUUAGUAGGGAAGAACAAAUGUGUAAGUAACGAUGCACGUCUUGACGGUACCUAAAUAGAAAGCCACGGCUAACUACGUG